rnacentral:lncRNA from 1 species
UGUGUAAACGAAGCUCACAGGAGAGGUGAACAGGAAAGAGCAGGUACUAGGGGCUAUAAAGAAGCCGAGAGGGUCUAUUAAGUUUACCCGAUUGCCCACCUUAAAACCCAACUUCAGGCUCAGUGGUAAAGUUCUUGCUUGCCUAGGGUGCAUGAGUCUGGAUUUAUCCUCAGUAUUCCUAAACAGAAACAAAGCCCUUAUCUUAGGGAUAUGCUUUUAAUGUCAUGUAACCCCAGGAAAAUCUAAAGAUAAGGUCUCCUGCUUUUUUGCUUAACAUAUAGUGGAGAAAUGGGGAGAUAGGUGUCCCCUGCUAGUCUGGGGCACCAUGAAUGUCCCCUGAAUUCUGGGGCCUUUGGGAAUCCAUUCCAUUAGGAAACAGAACUGACCUGA